rnacentral:lncRNA from 1 species
UCGCUGCUCUUGUCGGAAUCCGAGCAGCUGGAUGACCGGGGCGCUUCUUCCACCUCCCAAAUCGGCGAUACGGGGCCGCGGCCGCCCGAAUCGGGCAGCUCCUCCGGGCCAGAGCGCCGUCGACACGCCGACUCGAUCCAGAGCAGCGACAGCGAGGCGACGGUGAGGGCCGCGACGGUGCCCUCGCUCCACACGGCGAGGAGCGCGAGCGCCACGGCGCCGCCGAGCGCGAGGAGCUGCGGGCGGGGCCGGAGGANNNN